UACGAAGGGUGCAAGCGUUACUCGGAAUUACUGGGCGUAAAGCGUGCGUAGGCGGUUCGUUAAGUCUGAUGUGAAAGCCCUGGGCUCAACCUGGGAAUGGCAUUGGAUACUGGCGACCUAGAGUGCGGUAGAGGGGUGUGGAAUUCCCGGUGUAGCAGUGAAAUGCGUAGAUAUCGGGAGGAACAGCUGUGGCGAAGGCGACACCCUGGACCAGCACUGACACUGAGGCACGAAAGCGUGGGGAGCAAACAGG
rnacentral:rRNA from 1 species